GAUGAACGCUGGCGGCGUGCUUAACACAUGCAAGUCGAACGGAAAGGCCCAGCUUGCGGGGUGUGUUAGUGGCGAACGGGUGUGAAACACGUGAGUAACAUCCCCUUGACACUGUGGUAAGACCUGGGGACACGGUCUAAUACCGGGGAGAAGCGCCUCUGCCGUAUGGUGGGUUGGGGAGAGUUUGCGGUCAUGGAUGGACUCGCGGCCUAUCAGCUUGUUGGUGUGGUAAUGGCUCACCAAGGCGCCGACGGGUAGCCGGCCUGAGAGGGUGACCGGCCACACUGGGACUGAGACACGGCCCAGACUCCUACGGGAGACAGCAGUGGGGAAUAUUGCACAAUGGGCGGAAGCCUGAUGCAGCGACGCCGCGUGAGGGAUGACGGCCUUCGGGUUGUAAACCGCUUUCAGUAGGGAAGAAGCGAAAGUGACGGUACCUGCAGAAGAAGCACCGGCUAACUACGUG
rnacentral:rRNA from 1 species